rnacentral:rRNA from 1 species
GAAUUUUGGACAAUGGGCGAAAGCCUGAUCCAGCAAUGCCGCGUGCAGGAUGAAGGCCUUCGGGUUGUAAACUGCUUUUGUACGGACCGAAAAGCUCUCGGUUAAUACCCUGGAGUCAUGACGGUACCGCAAGAAUACACCCCGGCCACCCACGUGCCAGACGCCGCGGUAAUACGUAGGGUCCAAGCGUUAAUCGGAAUUACUGGGCGUAAAGCGUGCGCAGGCGGUUUUGUAAGACAGAGGUGAAAUCCCCGGGCUCAACCUGGGAACUGCCUUUGUGACUGCAAGGCUAGAGGACGGCAGAGGGGGGUGGAAUUCCGCGUGUAGCAGUGAAAUGCGUAGAUAUGCGGAGGAACACCGAUGGCGAAGGCAACCCCCUGGGCCUGUACUGACGCUCAUGCACGAAAGCGUGGGGAGCAAACA